CUUGGGGUCAUCCUUGGCCUCUCUGCAGGCAAGACUGCAAGAUAUUUGGGUACAUGAGGAACACAGUUUGGAAGAGAUGCUAAUGCUGCUCCCAGCAUCCACAGAGAUCAAAGGCAUGCUGGGUGGCAAAAAUACUUGUUUCCAGAGUUUCUGGUACAGCCAUUACUCCAUAGGGAGCUCUGGGCAUCUGCAAGCUGUGUACAAGGCAAACACACA